AAUACAGAGGUUAAAAAGCCUGGGCUGUAAGGUUGCACGGGACGGUACUUGCCUGCCUGUGGGAUGUAAUACAACUUGUAGCCGGAGUAUCCACAUCGGGGCUGUGCUGCUGCCUACACUUAGUAAUAAAUUAUUGCUGUGACUCUAAACACUCUGCAAUGUAUCGGCGAUUCAUCUUUCAGUCGCCUGUUCCCACGCUGUCCGUUUUAUCUCGAUGGUUAAUUUAAUCCUGGCAGUAAUUGCUUCGCUUCUCUUAAAUCUCCCCGUCCCGCCAGCCAAGCGCGGGCCCUUGUGCGGGUGUUGUGGGGGUCGGGGCGGCUGGCCACCGGGCUGGUGAUGCUCGGACAGCCGAGACCGCUCCGUGCAGCCCGGGCCCUGGGGCUCCGCAGCCGGCAGUGACCGGGGGAGCGGCGGCCGCGGGGGGGCGGGGGGAGGAGGAGGAGAAGGCGGCGAAUCCUCGUCCGGCUGGCCGGGUGUGCGAGCACUAGUGGGAGCUGGAGAGGGCGAAAGGAGGGGAGAAAGCCCCAAACCACCCCGAGCCCGAGCAGAGCGGCUGCGAGCCGGGCGGCAAGGGGGGUGUGCGCCAGAGGCGGGCGGGGGGCGAGCGCGGCGGCAGCGCUGGGAGCGGCGGCAGCCCCGGCGGAGGAGACGGCAGCAGCCCCGGCGGAGGAGGCAGCCCCGCGGAGCCUUGGCAGGCGGUGAGCACGGGUGGAGUUCAUUUCUUUUGUUCCUGAGAGCUGAAUAGGAGAAAGGGACAUUUCAGCUUUUCUUGAUAAAGUAAUUAUUAGAAACGCUGUUCAUUUACAUAUGUUUAAAAAAAGAAGAAAUGUAUUGUGGAAGUCACUGUGUUGAUGCCAGAUCUUGGAUGCCUGAGCCCUGGGUGUUUUGGAGAGUCCAAAAGUGGCUGUUACCUUGUGAGGCUGUGCUCAUCAAUACUUGUCACUUCAUCUGCGCCCUGCAGCCCAGCCCAGCCCUGUGGAUUUGAACCAGGUCAGAUGUGAGAACUUGCUCAUGUGUUUGUCAGCCUGGCAGAGCACACAAUGAUGUAUUUAUAGCUGCCUUCUACCAGCUGCAGGAAGAAGGAUGAUACCUGAUCUGGUAGAAAAUCUACCAAGAUAAAAUUACCUUAAAAAAAAAAAAAAAGAAAAAAGAAAAAAAAUUAUUUAUGUCAGCAGAAUGGUUUGAUACCUGUUCAUGGUUUGCUCUUCUUUUUGUCAUGAGCUUUCAGUGCUUUCUUAGGUACUGAGCAUCCAGAAACUGUAGUUACCACCAUCUCAUUGAACAUCACUGAACGUAUUACAGUUAUUGAUACUGCAUAUUGUUAAUUAAUUAAUAUUAAAUAUUUGAACUGUUCUGAA
rnacentral:lncRNA from 1 species